rnacentral:misc_RNA from 1 species
GUUCAUUUUACUCUUCACAAAAAUUCCAUGUAGUCGGUUACCUGGAUGCUUCAACCUCUGUUUUAGAAAUACGGGAUCUUUAGUAUCUGUGAGACUAAGAGACUUUAUUUUCUUGAACUAUUAGUAGAGCUGAAACAAGAAAGUGUAUGUUCUGGCCUCACCUAUUUCUCUUUCACUGUGGACUGCAGGGCCCCACUGUGUAAUGUUACAUCUAUCAGAGGAUGGUUUUACCACAUAUGUGUGGGGCUUUUAGUUAUUGGACUAGUCUGGUCUUCUGAAUUUGAAAUAGCCAUAGGGAUAAAGAUUUAUAAAAAUUGCCGCACUGAGUGUAUUUUACUUGUUGCAUUUUACUAACCUAGGCUAAUUAUGGUGCAUUCAUUAUAGAAUGGGGGCCAAUUAUGUCAGGCUCUGACUUGGACUGUCAGAGAGGAUGGUGAGCUGAAAACUCAGUGGGCCUUUGCAAUGGAAACAGGAAGCCAGAUGGACUCAGCUGCAGCAUAUAGAAAGGGCGUAGGAACUAUAGUGGUCAUUUGUUGUUCCCUUCUCUGCUUCCUGGUUGUGAAUACAAUAAAGCUGACCUGUCACCUCUCCACCCUCAAGCCACAGGGAUUGGUAUGUGCCCCUCACUGGGUCAAUCAGUGUCUUCCUUGGUUACUUUUUGCCACAGUAGGUGGAAAAGAUGGUUGUUGUCCACAGGAAUUGAUCGGGGGAUGUUGAUAUGAGGCUGCCAGCUGCCAUUUUACCACCUGGAGGGAGCCUGACAGAAAACUCAGAGAACCCCUGGCCCCACUGAUGGAGCCUCCCAAAGAAUCAGGUGCAUCCUUGAACUUCCCACUUGAGGUAACAAGUAAAUCCUCAGGUUAUUAUGAUGUGAGAUUCCAUCAUUCUAGAAAUCAGUCAUAUACAAAUACAACUGGCUGGUGUGUAAUGAUAAUAGUCAACACUGGUGUUUUCUGGUGGCUCCCGGAUUAAGGAUCCAGCAUUCCCACUUCUGUGGCACAGGUGGGUUUGAUCCCUGGCCCUGGAAUUUUUGCAUGCCGUGGGCAUAGUCAAAAGGAAAGAAAAAUAGCACUUAGUGAAAUGAAUGCUAUAAUGUGAGGCAUGCUUCUAAGAAAUUUCAUGCAUGAAUCAUUUAAAUCUCACAACAGUCCUAUGACGUAUACACCAUUAUCAUUUCUAUUUUACAGAUGAAGAAACUAAAGCUUAGGGAGGUCGCAUGACUUUCCCUUAGAUAACAGCGAUAGGAAGAAAUAGGGCUGCAGAACAGGGAUUUGAACCUAGAGAGAAAGUGAGAGCUGUUUAUACACAUGCAUACACUUUAUCUUUAUAUAUANUUUACCUCUUUGUAAUGUGAAAAAAAAUUUCAAUAAAAAUGUUAGAAAAUUAAUGUUGGUUAUGUGCAUGGAAAUGAGUAUCCUAAAUUUUAUCCCAUUGUCAUGGACAAUGAUAGACCUUACUGCUAGAGCUUAAAAAGCAACUAUAGAUUUAUGAGUGUUUUGAAAGGAUAUAAGUAGAAAAUUGAGUAUUGCUAUUGAAGUAUCCUACUAUAUGACAUUGAAUCUCCGAAAGAGCAGCUAGUUAGCUGGUCAAAGCUUUUUCAGAGGUAAACAAAACAAAAACCUAGAAGCAGCUAGAUAGAGGCACCAGAGUGCAUUGUUUAUGAAUAUCAUUUAGGGAAACAUUGCAGUGGGAAGAAUCUCUAAACAGAUACUGAGAAUGAAAAUAUUUUGUGAGCCAGAACAUAUAAUCAAGCCAAGUACUGGGACAUCGCAAAGUUAGAAUUUAUCAUAAAACUAGAAAACAGAAAAACACUGUAUUAGGGAAGUUGCAGAAGAAUUCCGUAGAUAUUUCAGAAAAAAAAUAUCUCAAAGCAGCAUCCAGUUCCUGGGUACUUUGUGUAGAUGAACCUAAAUCUAUUUUGCAAGGAUCCCAGGCUCUAAAUUAUAAUUAGUGAAUCCCAUGCCAAGAUGUAUGUGAAAUUGAACGGGUUAACUCUCUCACCAUGACCAAUGAUACAGACACCCUAAAAAAUAAAUGUUCUAAUUUUCAAAAGUGUCAAGGUCUUAUCACUUCCUAUUGUAUCAUGCAAAAAAUGCAAAAACUGCAGGCAAACGCUUUUGAAAUACCUGCUUUUAUGCUUUCAGGAAAGUAAUGUCUUAGAAUCAUGAUUGCGUCUUAGGACUGGGGUUGGCCAAUGGGAUAAAUCCAGCCCUCCAUCUGUUCCUGAAGGGCUGGUACACUAAGGAUAUUUUUUAAUAUAUUUAAAUGCUUGG